UGGGGAAUAUUGGACAAUGGGGGGAACCCUGAUCCAGCAAUGCCGCGUGUGUGAAGAAGGCCUGCGGGUUGUAAAGCACUAUCAGUUGGGAGGAGGGUUGAUUGUUUAAGAGAUGAUUAACUGGACGUUACCGACAGAAGAAGCACCGGCUAACUCCGUGCCAGCAGCCGCGGUAAUACGGAGGGUGCGAGCGUUAAUCGGAAUUACUGGGCGUAAAGGGUGCGUAGGUUGUUGAAUAAGUUAUCUGUGAAAUUCCUGGGCUUAACCUGGGCAUGUCAGAUAAUACUGUUUGACUCGAGUAUGGGAGAGGGCAGUGGAAUUUCCGGUGUAGCGGUGAAAUGCGUAGAGAUCGGAAGGAACACCAGUGGCGAAGGCGACUGCCUGGCCUGUUACUGACACU
rnacentral:rRNA from 1 species